rnacentral:lncRNA from 1 species
AGAGGAACAGCCUGGUUUAUAGAGGAACAGCCUGGUUUAUAGAGGAACAGCCUGGUUUAUUGAGGAACAGACACAUUUAGAACAGUCUGGUUUAUAGAGGAACAGACACAUUUAGAACAGCCUGGUUUAUAGAGGAACAGCCUGGUUUAUAGAGGAACAGACACAUUUAGAACAGUCUGGUUUAUAGAGGAACAGACACAUUUAGAACAGACUGGUUUAUAGAGGAACAGCCUGGUUUAUAGAGGAACAGACACAUUUAGAACAGUCUGGUUUAUAGAGGAACAGCCUGGUUUAUAGAGGAACCGACACAUUUAGAACAGCCUGGUUUAUAGAGGAACAGCCUGGUUUAUAGAGGAACAGACACAUUUAGAACAGUCUGGUUUAUAGAGGCACCGACACAUUUAGAACAGCCUGGUUUAUAGAGGAACAGACACAUUUAGAACAGCCUGGUUUAUAGAGGCACAGCCUGGUUUAUAGAGGAACAGCCUGGUUUAUAGAGGAACAGACACAUUUAGAACAGUCUGGUUUAUAGAGGAACAGCCGGAUUUAUAGAGGAACAGACACAUUUAGAACAGCCUGGUUUAUAGAGGAACAGACACAUUUAGAACAGUCUGGUUUAUAGAGGAACACACAUUUAGAACAGCCUGGUUUAUAGUGGAACAGCCUGGUUUAUAGUGGAACAGCCUGGUUUAUAGAGGAACAGCCUGGUUUAUAGUGGAACAGACACAUUUAGAACAGCCUGGUUUAUAGAGGAACAGCCUGGUUUAUAGAGGAACAGCCUGGUUUAUAGAGGAACAACCUGGUUUAUAGUGGAACAGACUUGUUUAUAGUGGAACAGACUGGUUUAUAGUGGAACAGCCUGGUUUAUAGACACAUACCAUAGUUCUAUUACAGACUGCUGUGAUCCUUCGGUCAUGGCACUGAUCCAUUGUUCCUCAGUCCACAGCCUGCUAUUCAUAUCAGCCGUGACGCAGUUAAAUGCCUUAUGAUACUGCUCUCUACAAGAGCGGACAAAUCUCUAAGCAUUUUAUGACCUAAAUGCUACGCUAGCUUUAGCUUACCACAAACAUUCAAAUAACUAGUAGAAACCCAAAAUAAUUAUUUAGUGAAGAACGGGAUAAAACAUUUUUGUGUGUGUUCGUGUGAAACCUACUUCUGUGCCGACCUGAAGACUACAGGAUGAAGUGAUCCAUCAGAAGGCUGUUGCUAGGCUUCUUCUUCUUCUGUCCUGUUACUAGUCCUGCCAUUUACAUCUGGCUUUUGGUUUAGAACAUCCAGGUGACAUUUACUGUACACGCCACAAACCUUUUAUGUUGUACAAAAUAAACUAGUUCUCUUGUCAACCGUUUUUGUUUUUCGUGAGAAUAAAUCAUGAUGUAUAUUUCAUUCUCUCUGUGGUGAAAGUUUGGAUGGAUUUUCCUGUGUUUCAUUCAACCUCAGCUGAAGUGAGAUGGCAUUAAUUGGGUGAGACCCAACGGUCCCCUAUUCCCUGUAUAGUGCACUACUUUAGACCAGGGCCAAUAAAGGGCCCUUAGGGCUCUGAUCAAAAGUAGUGCACUAUACAGGGAAUAGGGAGCCAGUUGGGACAUCGGCUGCGGUCAGCUGCCUUUCGUUGUGUUGUAUUUUAGAGAAUAUUAAAGUGGAGAUUCUUUGCCU